rnacentral:sRNA from 1 species
CGUUCGUCCUGUCAUUUAUCUCAUUUUAAGAUAAAGGGACGACAAAACUGCAGUCACUUUUGAAGUAAGGAAAAAAUUUAGGGGUGACUUUCUGAGCACAUUUAGGGUUUCGGUGGACCGGGUCUUAAAGACCCUGAAAGAAAAUGCUAAUAAAGCCAAAAGCUUACUGCUCACUACCAUACCUCAGAUAGGGUCCACAGAAUGGUCAGAAACCCUCCAUAACCUGAAGAAUAUGGCCCAGUUUUCUGUUUUAUUACCAAGACAUUAAAGUAGCAUGGCUGCCCAGGAGAAAAGAAGACAUUCUAAUUCCAGUCAUUUUGGGAAUUCCUGCUUAACUUGAAAAAAAUAUGGGAAAGACAUGCAGCUUUCAUGCCCUUGCCUAUCAAAGAGUAUGUUGUAAGAAAGACAAGACAUUGUGUGUAUUAGAGACUCCUGAAUGAUUUAGACAACUUCAAAAUACAGAAGAAAAGCAAAUGACUAGUAAACAUGUGGGAAAAAAUAUUACAUUUUAAGGGGAAAAAAAAACCACCAUUCUCUUCUCCCCCUAUUAAAUUUGCAACAAUAAAGGGUGGAGGGUAAUCUCUACUUUCCUAUACUGCCAAAGAAUGU